CACGUAGGGCGCAAGCGUUGUCCGGAAUUAUUGGGCGUAAAGAGCUCGUAGGCGGUCUGUUGCGUCCGCUGUGAAAACUCGGGGCUUAACCCCGAGCCUGCAGUGGAUACGGGCAGACUAGAGGUAGGUAGGGGAGAAUGGAAUUCCCGGUGUAGCGGUGAAAUGCGCAGAUAUCGGGAGGAACACCGGUGGCGAAGGCGGUUCUCUGGGCCUUACCUGACGGUGAGGAGCGAAAGCGUGGGGAGCGAACAGG
rnacentral:rRNA from 1 species